ACCCAGGCUCAAAAACCUUUGUAGUCUAAAUUAGAUUUAAACACAGUCAUCUGAAUAGCUAGAUACUGUUAGAGGAAGAAAUAUGGAACAAAUACUAAAUGUAUAUAUAUGUAUAUAUAAAUAUUUUCCAUUUGAAAUGGGUUACUUGUUAGGUAAACUAAAUAGUUGAAAUGUAACUUUAAUUUUGAUUGAGCUCUAGAUCUGUGCAGGUGAGCAGCCAAUCGAGCGUAAUUAGGUCAAGCUGACUCCGCCCACCGAGAGAUGCGGCAUUAGAGAGAGAGAAAAAAAACUUGAGAAACAACGUGAAUUAGAAGCUGCGUAAGAUCUUGAUUUAUUUCAUUUUGAGAGAGAACGCAUGUGAAAACCAAACAUUUGGAGUAGGCCAUCAUUGCGUCAUCCGAGAGAAACCUGGAAAAAAACAGAGAAAUAUCAUUAAUACAUGAGGGAAUCGGUGAGUUAGUAAAAAUAAAUAAUUAAUGUUUAGUAUAUAUGUUAAAAAAAAUAGCGAUUCAAGGGUGUAUUGGUGUAACUGGAAGGAAAGAGGUGUUCAGUGAAUGUACACGCUGUUAUAAAAAAUAUGUACAGACAUGUAAAGAUUGUGUAGAUUUAGUGAAAUGUAUGUAAAGUGAGGAUUGAUUAAGAAUGUUGUUUUGUGUUUGUGCACAGGCCAGUUUUGUUAUUUUAGAAAUCUAGAAUCUGGGUUUUUUUCAAUUCAUGAAGAUGGCGAGCCAACCGUAAAUCGAUCAGAAACAACUAUCCUUUGUCUUUUUGGACAUCUGUAUCACUUCACUUUCGGCAGGACAUCGCGUCGGAUUUUUUUUUCUUUUGAGGUUUGAAACAUC